rnacentral:rRNA from 1 species
GUCUAUGGUCGCACUACCCUCAAUGCAUCUGAUCUCGGAAGCUAAGCAGGGUUGGGCCUAGUUAGUACUUGGGUGUGAGACCAAAAUGUGUGCUAUUGUUU